GAUCCCCCCUCCCCGCGCGUGCAAAAAUCCCGCCUCCUCGUGGUUUUUUUCAUCGAUUCUUCUGAUGCGCUCUGGUUUUUGUGGAUUUCAUCGGCACGCUCAUCAGCGGGGGAUUCCGCGGUGGCAUCCGUGUGGGGGUGUGGAAGAGCAGAUCAGGACAAGGCGCACAUCCAAGUCCCCCCGCGCACCCUAUUUUUUUAUUCAAGGCCUACUGGUGGAACACUGAUUUUUCUGCAAGUAGAAAGGAAGUUAUAAUAAUAAGCACACAAAGGUUAGUCCAGCCACCGCACAAUGCUUCUUUUUGAUGCAACUGUGUGUUCAAUUUUUUUUCAUCAGUACUCGAUGUGCGAUAUGUGUUCAUGCCCAGUAGACAGAGCUCUGUGUGUUCUUCAUUUUCUCAAUUUGGGGGACGAUAAUGCUUGCGAUGAAUUGCUUUAAUAGGUCAUCAAUGGCCUCUGAAGAUUUAUUGAGGAGAUCAUGUUCUUCUUUAGUUCAAUAAUCUUAAUGUUGAUUUAUACAUAACUUCCUAUUCUUUUGACUACAAUAAUCUUGUUCUAUCAAUAAAUCAAAUGCACUGCAUUAGCCUGGCCAUAAGAUCUAGCCGUGAUGCACAGCAAAUUGACACACAUCUAGUAUAGUCAGAUUAACAUAGGCUAGGCUAUUGCUUUCAGGAAAUGUUUGCGCGGAGCAGAGCAUGAGUCGCAAAAAGCAGUAUAGUCUAUUAGUAGAGUUUGUCACUGAUUUACCCUUUGUCAAACUAUGACAGUACUUCCAUGACUGUUUUUUCGUAUGCUUUGGUUCAGGCACAUUACUAUUUUGAGUUAGGCAAAGUAUUGUACUUAGAUAGACAAAGUAUCAUUAUUAGUUAGACAAAAGUAUUGUUAUUAGAUAGGUGCUUCCCUCUUGAUAUUGUUCUACAUUUGCCGUAGUUCUCUUCUCCGCUUCAUGCCAGAAGGGAUAACAUGAGCUCAUCACCUGAGCGCUUUGUGCAUUUUUUUAGCCUUUGUUGUGAUUCCAAGGCCCCUGAAGAAUGUUAGAGUUUUGGUCCCAUAGUUCUUUCUUCUACUAACGUGAAGCUUGCCUUCUGUGAGAAAGUGCAGAAAGGUUAGUCAAGCAGACCCCAUCAACAGAGUAUUUUAGCGCUGGAAUUGUUGUGGGCCACGUUAUGGCCGCAAAUUGCAGCCUCUCAACCCCCAUUUGUCACAAUGCCAAGACGACAGAAGCAGAAAGGACGGCCACUGUCAACUUAUACAGUACCCCCCAUAAAACUAUUUUUUCAGCACUCCUUAAUAUCAUUUUCUUCUUCUCAACAUCUUCAUCGCCACCUUCUUUGUUGUUAUUCUCAGGUUCAGAGCCCCCUUCUUCAUAAUUGCUGUCAUCAGAUUCAGCAGUUGCAUUGCCCUCUUUCACCUUCCUCCCAUGCCCUUCCUUGUUACAAACAAAUAGGACUUUUGUGCUGCUAUUGUGUCAAACCUGACAGGCGUGAAGUGACCAUAAGGAUUGAGAAACCAAUCCAUUUUGCACAUGAGUUGUAGAAAUCUCUAGCUUCCUGCUUACUUGAAAAAUACUUACCCAGUGUAUGGUACUCGAGGUGUCGACCAAACCUCAUCCACAUCUGCUAUUCCUUAGGUGUUAUCAGCAAUAGUCUGCACAUAUUCGAGGUUUUCAGCUAUGCCCUUGUUUAGUUGUAUUCAAAAUUCCAAAACUUUACAAAAUUCCCCAUCACAUCGAAUCUUUGAGCACAUGCAUGAAGAAUUAAAUAUAGCUAAAUAAAGUAACUAAUUAUACAGUUUGUCUGUAAUUUGCGAGACGAAUCUUUUGAGACUAGUUAAACCAUGAUCCGAUAAUAAUUACCAAAUACAAACAAAAGUGCUACAAUGUCAAAAUUCCAAAAGUUUUUGCAACUAAACAAGAUAUUAUAGUUGCCAACAGCAGCCUCAACACCUCCCAAAGCAGGCAACACUUGCUGUUCUAGACUCUGCACAAUGUCAUAUACUGCCCAAAGCAGGCAACAGUUGCUCCCCUGUCCUGAAGCUUGAACUGCUUCUGUACAGUAUGUAGAAUUUUCAUCUGACUCAUUUAGGAAAUGAUAAUCAAAUUCUAGCAAGAGCUCAUUUUAAAUCCAUUCUUUUUCACUGGUCUUUUCCUAUUCUAUUACCCUGCACAACUAUUUUUUAAUCAAAGCACAAAUCUGAUUAGAUUGGUUUCUACUAGGUAGUAUAAGUUAGGUUUCCAAGCAAUAAUAUUGUUCCGUACAAGCAUAUCAGUAUUUUUGUUUAGACAAUAAUGUUGCUCAUUUUCAGCAUCAAAACCACUAACCAAGUUUUCAAUCUUGAUUCAAUCAGGUCUACAAUACUGGAUUCAAUUGUGUGGGUGGGACAGGGGAGCAACUAGGCGCAUCAGCACAUCCAAUCAGAAACUUACAUGCAUGCUACCUCUCUUUUGACCUGUGUAUAGCAAUUUGCAUCUAAAGAUAUGUGGUUUUUCGUUUAUGGAGGAUGGGAUUUUGUAUGGAUCUAUUAUGUCACCUAAAGAUCUGUGGUUUUUCAUUUCUAGAGGAUGUGAUUUUGUAUGGAUCUAUUAUGUUGUUAGAACCCUAAAACCAAAUUGCAGAUGAUGGGAUACCUAAACAAGUACUAAAUGUCUGAUCUGCAUA